AGUGAACGCUGGCGGUAGACCUAACACAUGCAAGUCGAACGGCAGCACAGUAAGAGCUUGCUCUUACGGGUGGCGAGUGGCGGACGGGUGAGGAAUACAUCGGAAUCUACUUUUUCGUGGGGGAUAACGUAGGGAAACUUACGCUAAUACCGCAUACGACCUACGGGUGAAAGCAGGGGAUCUUCGGACCUUGCGCAAUUGAAUGAGCCGAUGUCGGAUUAGCUAGUUGGCGGGGUGAAGGCCCACCAAGGCGACGAUCCGUAGCUGGUCUGAGAGGAUGAUCAGCCACACUGGAACUGAGACACGGUCCAGACUCCUACGGGAGGCAGCAGUGGGGAAUAUUGGACAAUGGGCGCAAGCCUGAUCCAGCCAUACCGCGUGGGUGAAGAAGGCCUUCGGGUUGUAAAGCCCUUUUGUUGGGAAAGAAAAGCAGCAGGUUAAUACCCCGCUGUUCUGACGGUACCCAAAGAAUAAGCACCGGCUAACUUCGUG
rnacentral:rRNA from 1 species